rnacentral:rRNA from 1 species
UGGGGGAUAUUGCACAAUGGGCGAAAGCCUGAUGCAGCGACGCCGCGUGGGGGAUGAAGGCCUUCGGGUUGUAAACUUCUUUUGCUCUGAACAAGGCGCACCAUGGGGUGUGUUGAGUGUAGGGGUUGAUUAGCGCCGGCUAACUACGUGCCAGCAGCCGCGGUAAUACGUAGGGCGCGAGCGUUGUCCGGAAUUAUUGGGCGUAAAGGGCUUGUAGGUGGCUGGUUGCGUCUGUCGUGAAAGCUCAUGGCUUAACUGUGGGUUUGCGGUGGGUACGGGCUGGCUUGAGUGCAGUAGGGGAGGCUGGAAUUCCUGGUGUAGCGGUGGAAUGCGCAGAUAUGAGGAGGAAUACCGGUGGCGAAGGCGGGGCUCUGGGCUGUUACUGACACUGAGGAGCGAAAGCAUGGGGAGCGAACAGG